GGCCGGUGAUGUUAGCAAAAUAUUUGCUACUCUUGAUGUGGGGUGGGUUUCUUCGUCCCUCAUCUGAUGAUUUUUAUCCACCAAGAUCUCUGAGGCC